rnacentral:rRNA from 1 species
CCCUAAGGAGGGGAAUAACAGCUGGAAACGGUUGCUAAUACCCCAUAUGCCGCAAGGUAAAAGGAAGUAUCCACCUUAGGAAGAGCUCGCGUCUGAUUAGCUAGUUGGUGAGGUAAUAGCUCACCAAGGCCAUGAUCAGUAGCUGGUUUGAGAGGACGAUCAGCCACACUGGGACUGAGACACGGCCCAGACUCCUACGGGAGGCAGCAGUGGGGAAUUUUCCGCAAUGGGCGAAAGCCUGACGGAGCGAUACCGCGUGAGGGAUGAAAGCCUGUGGGUUGUAAACCUCUUUUCUCAAGGAAGAAGUUCUGACGGUACUUGAGGAAUAAGCAUCGGCUAACUCUGUGCCAGCAGCCGCGGUAAUACAGAGGAUGCAAGCGUUAUCCGAAAUCACUGGGCAUAAAGCGUCUGUAGGUUGUUUGGUAAGUCUGCUGUUAAGGACUAGGGCUUAACCCUAGGAAAGCAGUGGAAACUAUCAGACUUGAGUAUGGUAGAGGUAGAGGGAAUUCCUAGUGUAGCGGUGAAAUGCGUAGAUAUUAGGAAGAACACCAAUGGCGAAAGCACUCUACUGGGCCAUAACUGACACUGAGAGACGACAGCUAGGGGAGCAAAUGGGAUUAGAUACC